rnacentral:lncRNA from 1 species
GUGGGGGGAGGCUGGGGACCUUCCUGUGGGGGCACAAAUCUUGUCCUGUCACUGGAGGAUGCACACAGCUCAUGGAGACCACGUCAACCACCGGCCUAAGGAAAGCAGCGGGAAAGCUAAAGUGUGACGCGGCUUAAGCAGCUUGUCUGAGUUUGCACAGCUGGCAAAUGGCUGAGCCAUGACUCACACCCAGGUCCAUCCACCGCCAAAGCUCCAGAUCUCUGGCAUCCUUCUAAGGUCAGAAAGGGAAAGAAAUCCCUAAUAAGGAGCCUGUGUGACGGCGUGCCCCCCUCCACUUUCCCACCCCUGCCAAGGACCCGUUUGAAGGCUGUUCACGCCAGUCACUGCAAUCACCAUUGAGCACAGAGAUGACAGUUCCAGCAAGCACUGACCUUCCAGCCCACUCUGCGGAGGAGAAGACUGAGGGGCAGAGAGGCUGUUGAUUUGCUGCAGUUGACUCUGACCCUAAUUUCCCGGCGCUGACUCAAACUCAUCAGGAACACUGCUUUCACUGAGUGUAUGAAGUGGUUUCUCCAUCCGUGUGGCUUUACCUGAACUCACACCGGUCCCACGGCCCAGGUGUGGAGCCGAGCACUCCCCUCUGCCUCCUCCCUGGACUGCAGGACCUGUGUCUCGCUUUAUGAAAGAGAUGCCAUUUGGGGAAGACUCGCAUUGUCGGGAGCGCUGUGGACGCUCCAGAAGGAGAUCAACACGAUGAUGACGAUGCCGGGUGGAGGGAAUGUGCACUUCUCGGGAGCCAGAAAAGAAUAAUCUGAAUGUCUCCAGCAUCAAGAAAAGACCAGUAUUGAAGGUGAUGGAUGCCUUAAUUACGCUGAUUGGAUCUUUACAAAUUAUAUUAAUGUAUUAAAUUAUUACAUGUAUGCAGAAAGUCUGUACACCUAUUAUGCACCAAUAAAAAAGAAAUUUUUUAAAGUGAAAAAAAA